GUAUUUUUCUUUCUUUUUAAAUUACAUACAAAACUCUGUGAAAUUACAGACAUUAUCUUUAAAUUAACAACCCAACUGUUAAUUUAAGUUUUAUGCUCAUAAUACAAAAUAACAUUUUUUUCCCAUUUUUGUAAAGAAAAAUGACUGUAUUAUUAAUACAGUCUUUUUACCGUUUUCUUAAAUGACAUACAAAUUCAUGUAAAACAACAAUUAUUACCUGUAAUUAAAUGUGGAGCUCCUUAUAUGAAGGUUUAUGUCCAUACUAACAAUUUAACGAUUUUCUUUGUAAUUUUAAGGUAGAUCAUAUUAUAUUUAUAUUAAUGUGUACUUUUACAUUCAAACUCUGUAAAUCUGAAUCUAAAUGUAGCUAACUUUUGUCAUUACAUUAAACAUAUUGCAUUUUUUUGAAGAGUACAAAGUAGAAGAAAUAAUAGGUUUUGAUACUUGUUCUUUAUAGGAGCAUUAUAGGGCGACCGUGAGUAUUUGUCCAGUGUCGGUGUCCCGGAGCGAGACAUCUAACUUCUAACUGUAAGUCGCUUUUGGAUAAAAGCGCCAGCUAAAUGCAUGUAACAUGCUUGAAAGUUUCAACCUCAAGAGAGCAGUGCAGCAGAAACUUGCCAUAUAGGAUUUAGUGUCAACUAGAAAUAAGACCGUCACAAUGGCAAUGACCACCACGAGCGGAGUGCGAAGCAUCCCAGAUAGCAGUUGAUCCUAUCCGCCCUCCUGUCGCACUCGGUUUGGUCAUGCCACCGGAUCCGCGCACCAUCAGACAGCGUUGUGACUGCGGUGGAUGCUCCAAGUUGUUGCCCUUCGACUUUUCAAACUGGUAUUUUCAAAACUGCAGCUCUUUGCGCCAGAAGUACGAGUUAGUUGUACAGAAGUGACAACACUGUUGAUCGCCAUCUCUACAACUCAGAUAAAAUGAACAGAAAGAAUGGGCCUGUCUCCAGCUCCACCAUUAGACGGAGGGUCCGUCAAGAUGUUUUGACUACAUCACUGUGAUUGAUGGGAAACUGAAUACAACUUUGACUGUUAAGUAAAGUUUCUUCUCUUCAAUGUGUAUAACACGCCUAUUAUUGCCGUUUAAUCUCUUUUUUUUACGGUAUACCUCGUGUUUUCAAACACAAAUUUUCAUACUCCUGGUUAUAAAGAACUUUAAUAGUUGCAAAAUAUUAUUUUUUUCAAAGUUCUUGGAACAGAAGGUUAUAUUUCUGUGACAAGUGACACUGUUUGUUUCUUUCCUCUGUAAUUCAGGAUGUUCCACUUCAUAGAA